UAAUAAGUGUUUUUAUAUGGCACUUUUUAAAAUCCAUAUCCACCUUGUGUGCAAUUGUCGGCCGAUUCUUCUUUUUUUGAGGAUCGACCAAACAUCAACCUUUAUUUUUUAACUCUUUGUCUGAAAAAUAUUUAUGAAAUAAACAAUUCAAAAUA
rnacentral:misc_RNA from 1 species